rnacentral:rRNA from 1 species
GACGAACGCUGGCGGCGUGCCUAAUGCAUGCAAGUCGCACGGAGCCUUCGGGCUCAGUGGCGCACGGCUGAGGAACACGUGGGAAUGUGCCCAUCGGUGGGGGAUAACGGGCCGAAAGGUCCGCUAAGCCCGCAUACGCUCGACGGAGGAAAGGCGCAAGUCGCCGAUGGAGCAGCCCGCGGCCCAUCAGGUCGUUGGUGGGGUAACGGCCCACCAAGCCGAUGACGGGUAGCUGGUCUGAGAGGACAGACAGCCAGACUGGGACUGAGACACGGCCCAGACUCCUACGGGAGGCAGCAGCAAGGAAUUUUCGUCAAUGGGCGCAAGCCUGAACGAGCAACGCCGCGUGCAGGAUGACGGCUUUCGGGUUGUAAACUGCUUUUGGGGGGGACGAUAGUGACGGUACCCCCGGAAUAAGCCCCGGCUCACUCUGUGCCAGCAGCAGCCGCGGUAA